rnacentral:rRNA from 1 species
CUUGGUCAUUUAGAGGAAGUAAAAGUCGUAACAAGGUCUCCGUUGGUGAACCAGCGGAGGGAUCAUUACCGAGUACUACGCUCAUAACCCUUUGUGAACCAUUAUACCUGUUGCUUCGGCGGCGCCCCCCAGGGGGUGCCCGCCGGCCUCCAGAAUCUCUGUUUUCGAACCCGACGAUACUUCUGAGUGUUCUUAGCGAACUGUCAAAACUUUUAACAACGGAUCUCUUGGCUCCAGCAUCGAUGAAGAACGCAGCGAAACGCGAUAUGUAAUGUGAAUUGCAGAAUUCAGUGAAUCAUCGAAUCUUUGAACGCACAUGGCGCCUUCCAGUAUCCUGGGAGGCAUGCCUGUCCGAGCGUCGUUUCAACCCUCGAGCCCCCGUGGCCCGGCGUUGGGGAUCUGCCACGGCAGGCCCCGAAAUCCAGUGGCGGACCCGCUGGGCCCUCUCCUUGCGUAGUAGCAUCAGCCUCGCAUCGGGAGCCCGCGUGGCUAUCCGGCCCCUAAACCCCCCGCAAGCCCGCCCCCGGCGGCACCAAGGUUGACCUCGGAUCAGGUAGGAAUACCCGCUGAACUUAAGCAUAUCAAUAAGCGGAGGA